GGGAGGUAGGCCAUAAUUUGAAUGACUAUAGCACCACUACCUUAUAAUGAUGAUACCAUGGUCCUAGUUUCAUCAUUGGAAUUGGAAGAAAGUAGCAGUACCUGCAUGAAUAUUAUUUAAUGAAGGCAAUAAUUUUAAUAUAAUCAACCAUGCAUGUUUCUUUCUCUAAUUGGAUUCUGAUGUAGAAUUUUGAGUUUAAACAUUUGAUUAUAUGAUCCUGCAAAUGUAAAUUAUACAGGCCUAGCCUAAGAGAAUUUCAUAUUGUAGGCUGUCUUUAUAAGUCAUUUGAAAGAAAGCUAGUCAUAUCUGGUUGUUUUUUUAUGUACCAUUUGUAGUUUAAGUGUUCUUUUGGCCAAUAAUGCAGCUAAGGACUCACU
rnacentral:misc_RNA from 1 species